rnacentral:tRNA from 1 species
UCCAUGGUGGCUUGGAUGGUAAAGCAUCUGUCUACAAUGCAGGAGACCCAGGUUCGAUCCCUGGGUUGGGAA